ACGAACGCUGGCGGCGUGCUUAACACAUGCAAGUCGCACGGAAAGGCCCUGCUUGCAGGGUACUCGAGUGGCGAACGGGUGAGUAACACGUGGGUGAUCUGCCCUGCACUUCGGGAUAAGCCUGGGAAACUGGGUCUAAUACCGGAUAGGAGCCAUUUUUAGUGUGAUGGUUGGAAAGUUUUUUCGGUGUAGGAUGAGCUCGCGGCCUAUCAGCUUGUUGGUGGGGUAAUGGCCUACCAAGGCGGCGACGGGUAGCCGGCCUGAGAGGGUGGACGGCCACAUUGGGACUGAGAUACGGCCCAGACUCCUACGGGAGGCAGCGGUGGGGAAUAUUGCACAAUGGGCGCAAGCCUGAUGCAGCGACGCCGCGUGGGGGAUGACGGCCUUCGGGUUGUAAACUCCUUUCGCUAGGGACGAAGCUUUUUGUGACGGUACCUAGAUAAGAAGCACCGGCUAACUACGUG
rnacentral:rRNA from 1 species